rnacentral:rRNA from 1 species
CCUACGGGAGGCAGCAGCCGCGGUAAUAUUGGACAAUGGGGGCAACCCUGAUCCAGCAAUGCCGCGUGGGUGAAGAAGGCCUGCGGGUUGUAAGGCCCUUUCGGUGAGGACAAAACGCGCCACGUUAAUACCGUGGUGUUUUGAUUUAACUCACUAAAGAAGCACCGGCUAACUCUGUGCCAGCAGCCGCGGUAAU